GGACACGUGGUAUCCUGUCUGAAUAUGGGGGGACCAUCCUCCAAGGCUAAAUACUCCUGACUGACCGAUAGUGAACCAGUACCGUGAGGGAAAGGCGAAAAGAACCCCGGCGAGGGGAGUGAAAAAGAACCUGAAACCGUGUACGUACAAGCAGUGGGAGCAUGCUUAGGCGUGUGACUGCGUACCUUUUGUAUAAUGGGUCAGCGACUUAUAUUCUGUAGCAAGGUUAACCGAAUAGGGGAGCCGAAGGGAAACCGAGUCUUAACUGGGCGUUAAGUUGCAGGGUAUAGACCCGAAACCCGGUGAUCUAGCCAUGGGCAGGUUGAAGGUUGGGUAACACUAACUGGAGGACCGAACCGACUAAUGUUGAAAAAUUAGCGGAUGACUUGUGGCUGGGGGUGAAAGGCCAAUCAAACCGGGAGAUAGCUGGUUCUCCCCGAAAGCUAUUUAGGUAGCGCCUCGUGAAUUCAUCUCCGGGGGUAGAGCACUGUUUCGGCAAGGGGGUCAUCCCGACUUACCAACCCGAUGCAAACUGCGAAUACCGGAGAAUGUUAUCACGGGAGACACACGGCGGGUGCUAACGUCCGUCGUGAAGAGGGAAACAACCCAGACCGCCAGCUAAGGUCCCAAAGUCAUGGUUAAGUGGGAAACGAUGUGGGAAGGCCCAGACAGCCAGGAUGUUGGCUUAGAAGCAGCCAUCAUUUAAAGAAAGCGUAAUAGCUCACUGGUCGAGUCGGCCUGCGCGGAAGAUGUAACGGGGCUAAACCAUGCACCGAAGCUGCGGCAGCGACGCUUAUGCGUUGUUGGGUAGGGGAGCGUUCUGUAAGCCUGUGAAGGUGUGCUGUGAGGCAUGCUGGAGGUAUCAGAAGUGCGAAUGCUGACAUAAGUAACGAUAAAGCGGGUGAAAAGCCCGCUCGCCGGAAGACCAAGGGUUCCUGUCCAACGUUAAUCGGGGCAGGGUGAGUCGACCCCUAAGGCGAGGCCGAAAGGCGUAGUCGAUGGGAAACAGGUUAAUAUUCCUGUACUUGGUGUUACUGCGAAGGGGGGACGGAGAAGGCUAUGUUGGCCGGGCGACGGUUGUCCCGGUUUAAGCGUGUAGGCUGGUUUUCCAGGCAAAUCCGGAAAAUCAAGGCUGAGGCGUGAUGACGAGGCACUACGGUGCUGAAGCAACAAAUGCCCUGCUUCCAGGAAAAGCCUCUAAGCAUCAGGUAACAUCAAAUCGUACCCCAAACCGACACAGGUGGUCAGGUAGAGAAUACCAAGGCGCUUGAGAGAACUCGGGUGAAGGAACUAGGCAAAAUGGUGCCGUAACUUCGGGAGAAGGCACGCUGAUAUGUAGGUGAAGUCCCUUGCGGAUGGAGCUGAAAUCAGUCGAAGAUACCAGCUGGCUGCAACUGUUUAUUAAAAACACAGCACUGUGCAAACACGAAAGUGGACGUAUACGGUGUGACGCCUGCCCGGUGCCGGAAGGUUAAUUGAUGGGGUCAGCGCAAGCGAAGCUCUUGAUCGAAGCCCCGGUAAACGGCGGCCGUAACUAUAACGGUCCUAAGGUAGCGAAAUUCCUUGUCGGGUAAGUUCCGACCUGCACGAAUGGCGUAAUGAUGGCCAGGCUGUCUCCACCCGAGACUCAGUGAAAUUGAACUCGCUGUGAAGAUGCAGUGUACCCGCGGCAAGACGGAAAGACCCCGUGAACCUUUACUAUAGCUUGACACUGAACAUUGAGCCUUGAUGUGUAGGAUAGGUGGGAGGCUUUGAAGUGUGGACGCCAGUCUGCAUGGAGCCGACCUUGAAAUACCACCCUUUAAUGUUUGAUGUUCUAACGUUGACCCGUAAUCCGGGUUGCGGACAGUGUCUGGUGGGUAGUUUGACUGGGGCGGUCUCCUCCUAAAGAGUAACGGAGGAGCACGAAGGUUGGCUAAUCCUGGUCGGACAUCAGGAGGUUAGUGCAAUGGCAUAAGCCAGCUUGACUGCGAGCGUGACGGCGCGAGCAGGUGCGAAAGCAGGUCAUAGUGAUCCGGUGGUUCUGAAUGGAAGGGCCAUCGCUCAACGGAUAAAAGGUACUCCGGGGAUAACAGGCUGAUACCGCCCAAGAGUUCAUAUCGACGGCGGUGUUUGGCACCUCGAUGUCGGCUCAUCACAUCCUGGGGCUGAAGUAGGUCCCAAGGGUAUGGCUGUUCGCCAUUUAAAGUGGUACGCGAGCUGGGUUUAGAACGUCGUGAGACAGUUCGGUCCCUAUCUGCCGUGGGCGCUGGAGAACUGAGGGGGGCUGCUCCUAGUACGAGAGGACCGGAGUGGACGCAUCACUGGUGUUCGGGUUGUCAUGCCAAUGGCACUGCCCGGUAGCUAAAUGCGGAAGAGAUAAGUGCUGAAAGCAUCUAAGCACGAAACUUGCCCCGAGAUGAGUUCUCCCUGACCCUUUAAGGGUCCUGAAGGAACGUUGAAGACGACGACGUUGAUAGGCCGGGUGUGUAAGCGCAGCGAUGCGUUGAGCUAACCGGUACUAAUGAACCGUGAGGCUUAACCUU
rnacentral:rRNA from 1 species